AUUUCUGGUGCUAUAUUCUGGGUCUUGCCCCUCAUCCCGUGCUUAUCAAGUUGUCUAGGCCUCACCAGUGUCCCUACUGUAGGAAAUGUGGUCCUCUUAACAGCUCUGCUCUGUUUCAGUAACUCUCUGUCCUGGUAUGGUGAGGAAUCCUACAUCCAGAGCAUGGAGCCAGGGGCUAAGGUAGUGACUUGGGCCUGAGGGCAUUGGGAGGUCCCAAGGGAAAGACAAGGGUGGGAUUGGACUGAACAGAGGUGAUCAAGGGUGAAGACAGGGAGUAUGUAUUGUGGCACCUGCCACCCUACUCCAUCCUUAUUAAUUCCUGUCCCUUCCCCCAACCUGUCAGUGCUUUGCAGUCCGCUCUCUGGGCUGGGUAGAAGUACCUGAAGAGGACCUGGCACCGGGGAAGAGCAGUAUUGCAGUCAAUAACUGUAUCCAGCAGCUGGCCCAGACCCGCAGCCGGAGCCAGCCUCCAGAUGGUGCCUGGGGUGAGGGCCAGAACAUGCUGAUGAUCCUGAAGAAGGAUGCCAUGAGCCUAGUGAAUCCCGUGGACCACAGUCUGAUCCACUGCCAGCCUCUGGUGCACAUCCGUGUGUGGGGCGUGGGGAGCUCCAAGGGCCGGUGAGGAUGCCUACAUCCCCCAAGCAAGAGCUACUUCUCCCUCCCGGCUGCAGGCUGUGAUCCCCACUGAUGCUGAUCCCCAGUACUUGAACCCCUGGACACAGAUCCUCUGAUGUGGACCCAGGACUGCUUCCCCUGCCUGGUCCAGCCCUGGUUGGGGAGGGUGGGCCCAGCUCAGCAGGGACAGUUUGGGGAGAGUCCGAGAGGCUGGGCUGAUUCCCUUCUGUGCUCCCACAUGCUUCCGGAACAGUGACAGG
rnacentral:sRNA from 1 species